AUGGCAGGGAGGGACCUGUCGUCGAUUGCUUUCGCCAUUGCACGCUUCCUCCAGAGAGAGAACCGUCGCUGUCCACGCACCCAUCGCCACCGUGCUGCAAGUCGCCGUCGCCGUCAGGGACUUGGCGCAAGGAGUGGCCCUCGCCGCCGCUUUUUCGCCUGGAACCACCGCCAGAACCGCCGUCGUGGGUACGCACGCCAAGGCAACCGCCCGCUCCGUGGGCGAGCACCAAUGGUGCACCAGGCUAGACCCUCGGCUCCGACCACCACUGCAAACCAUGCUGGGCCUUCGGCUCCGGCUCCGGCCGUCGCCGACGACUACAUCGUACCAAUGACUCCGCCGCCAUCUGUCUUCACCAUCCCUCCGAUGGAUUGGCUCCUUGGAGGUCCAUCGGCGCCAUUCCUCGGAGAAGAAGAGAUGUUCCCUUGCGAACUCGCGCCACCGCCUCUGCCCCCGUACGGGUUCGAAUCAUGCCCAGCGCGUACGGGCGCACCACCGCGGAAGCCGUCUCCGACGCCAUCAGACGAACUGCCGGAGCACUUCAUCCCUCCUGGAUACGGCCCCGUCCCGGAUCUCCCAUCCCCGACGCCGGCGGCAGCGGGAACCGGCGGCUACCCUUCCAUCCCCGACUUGAACAUCAAGAUCAAGGUUGAAGAAGAGGAGAUAGAGGACCAGGGCUCGUCGUCGACGCCACCACGUUCAUCACCGGCGACACCACCUCCUCCUCCGGCACCGCCUCUUCCUCCGACGCCUCCGCCGAAAGCCCGCCGGAUCCUGCGCCAAUUCGCCGCGGCCAUGGCGCAAAACCAUGCAGCCCUUCGUGGCGCGUGGUCGCUGGAUGCCCUUGGCCUCACCGGCGCCCCUGGGGCGAGCAGCAGCGGAGCAGGCCGUGCUGCGAAGCGGGGCCCAACUCGCUUCCAUUGA
rnacentral:rRNA from 1 species